rnacentral:rRNA from 1 species
GAUCAUGGCUCAGAUUGAACGCUGGCGGCAGGCUUAACACAUGCAAGUCGAACGGUAACAGGAAGAAAGCUUGCUUUCUUUGCUGACGAGUGGCGGACGGGUGAGUAAUGCUUGGGAAUCUGGCUUAUGGAGGGGGAUAACUACGGGAAACUGUAGCUAAUACCGCGUAAUAUCGAGAGAUUAAAGGGUGGGACCGCAAGGCCACCUGCCAUGAGAUGAGCCCAAGUGGGAUUAGGUAGUUGGUG